UAAGUGGAGAGUUUGAUCCUGGCUCAGAACGAACGCUGGCGGCGUGCUUAACACAUGCAAGUCGAGCGAGAAAGGGGGGGCAACCCCCUGAGUAGAGCGGCGCACGGGUGAGUAACGCGUGGGUAACCUACCCCCAGGCGGGGGAUAACUACUCGAAAGGGUAGCUAAUACCGCAUGAGACCACGGGAUCUUCGGGUCCUGAGGCUAAAGAUGGCACCGGCUUGCCGGUGCCGUCACCAGGGGAUGGGCCCGCGUCCGAUUAGCUAGUUGGCGAGGUAAUGGCUCACCAAGGCUUCGAUCGGUAGCUGGUCUGAGAGGAUGAUCAGCCACACUGGAACUGAAACACGGUCCAGACUCCUACGGGAGGCAGCAGUGAGGAAUAUUGCGCAAUGGGGGAAACCCUGACGCAGCAACGCCGCGUGGGUGAAGAAGGCCUUCGGGUCGUAAAGCCCUUUCGGACGGGACGAACGCUUCGCGGUGACAAUCCGCGAAGUCUGACGGUACCGUAGGAAGAAGCACCGGCUAACUCCGUGCCAGCAGCCGCGGUAAUACGGAGGGUGCGAGCGUUGUUCGGAAUUACUGGGCGUAAAGCGCGUGUAGGCGGCCUUGCAAGUCAGGCGUGAAAGCCCUCGGCUUAACCGGGGAAGUGCGUCUGAAACUGCUAGGCUUGAGUACGGGAGAGGGAGGCGGAAUUCCCAGUGUAGAGGUGAAAUUCGUAGAUAUUGGGAGGAACACCGGUGGCGAAAGCGGCCUCCUGGACCGAUACUGACGCUGAGACGCGAAAGCGUGGGUAGCAAACAGGAUUAGAUACCCUGGUAGUCCACGCGGUAAACGAUGGGCACUAGGUGUGGGGGGUAUCCACUCCUCCCGUGCCGAAGCUAACGCAUUAAGUGCCCCGCCUGGGGAGUACGACCGCAAGGUUAAAACUCAAAGGAAUUGACGGGGGCCCGCACAAGCGGUGGAGCAUGUGGUUUAAUUCGACGCAACGCGAAGAACCUUACCUGGGCUUGACAUCCCUGGAACUCCCUGGAAACAGGGAGGUGCCCUCGAAAGAGGGAGCCAGGAGACAGGUGCUGCAUGGCUGUCGUCAGCUCGUGUCGUGAGAUGUUGGGUUAAGUCCCGC
rnacentral:ncRNA from 1 species